ACCUUCCUCCGCCGUGCCUGCCUGCCUCCGCAGAACAAGGGUUGUCACUGCAUCCACAGUCCUGAUUCACACCCCUCCGAGUGUCCAAUCUGACCAGUUACUGGCAAUGCCAACCCUGUGGUUUUUCCUUGUGUCUAUGGCUUGGGUUUAUGGAGACACCAAAGUGAGUCUAUCCCAAGAGCAACUCUCCUUUAUCCGAAGACCAAAUAGAACGGUGCACAUAAGCUGCAAGCUGUCCGGGAUUCCCCUGGAGGAUGCCAUUGUGCACUGGUAUCAACAAAAAAAAGGGGAGCCCUUGAGACGAAUCCUUUAUGGCUCAACCAAGAACAGCAAGGACAACAAGCUCAAUCCCCGCAUGGAGACGUAUAGGAUGGACGGUACCUUUAACCUGAUAAUCAAUAAUGUUGCCAAGUCCGAUGAAGCCAUCUACUACUGUGCCUGCUGGGAUCCCACUAUGUCACAGAGUCACCGGGGACCUGUAAGAAAACCUUCUCUAUUACUGGCCCUCAGCUCCUGUGACACCUGAGUAACCACAACAGACUGUUUAAUGCUCCUACUCGUAAGUUCAUAAACAACUGAGACAGGGAGGGCUCGUAGAACAUAGACAGCACAAAGCCCACUUGGACUGAGGAAGCUGGGGCUGGCUCAGAGAGGGCAAGCAACUUGUCCAGCACUAGUUAACCAGAGAGCCAGGGCUCCACUUUCAUAUGUUCAGUGAAGGGUCUUUCCUGCCUCUCUUAUGGUCAGUGUUGAACUUCUUUUAGCAAAAUUGUAUUUCUUUCCAAAGGAAGCUUUAACAACUGUACCAGGCCUUCAUAUGUGACCUCCCCAGAACGUGGGAAGGUCUGAUAUGAAGGCAAAGUAUGUGACUUCACACAGUUUGAAAAGGAUAGCGUCAGCAGGAGACAGACUCCAAAUUCCUUCUGUCUCCAUGCUUUUUCCCCUGUGGUUACUUACUCUCCUUCAUUUCUUAUUAGCUCUGAAAUUCCCAAUAAUUAGGAAGUCUCCCUGGAGUGCACAUCAAAUAUAUGGGUAUGUGGGAAGCGGAGCUUGGUUUGUCAUUAGUGUAUUUGUAAAUCUUCACCAGUUACAGAACAACAUGUUGAACCAAGGUUCAAAUUCCCUGCUUUUCACUCUGAGGCCUGACACCUAUCCUAAGUUCAUGGUCAUGCCCUGGGUUCCUAAUUUGAUAGCCCUGACUUGCUAUCCUCAUUGUUAGAAUAACGCAGGACAUUUUCAUGCCCAAGGUGUCAACAGCCACACCUUGAAAAUAAUAACAACAGUAGUAACAACAAGCUAUCCUCUUACAUUGCAGCUGAAAACUUUUCUCCUUGGAUGUCUAAUAAGUAUCCAGAACAAAAUUAUUGAUUCCAAUCUCACUUCCCUAUCCCUUUCCCCUAUUUGUAGUAUUUUUUUCUCCCCAAACAUUCCUUUCUCAGUAAAGGACAAAAGUGUAUUGUGUCAAUGAACACAUGGCAAGGAUAUUUUGUCAAGCAGCUGGUGUUUCUUGGUUUUUUCACAUAUUUUGUUUCCUCUGGUAAUGAGAGGAAAAUAAAUGAGGAAACCUAUGUAUUCUUUAGGCAUUUUCAUAAUAUGAGAUCUGAAAAAACAAAAAACAAAAGACACAGGUGAUCCUGGGCCAGAAAGUAAGUCACAAACCCAACCAACCAACCCCAUGAGGCACCACCUGAGACUAGAAUUGGCUGCCCACACAGAGUGCCCAACCAAAACUCUUAGGUCCAGUGCAGAGCACUCCCACUCCUUUCUCUCUAACUUAACACAAGUUUAAAAACUAUUUUUCCCGUAGCUUACACAUGUGGGAUAACCAGCAUAUAGUUGUUCAUAAUGUCUUUUAUAUUAUCACCAAUUCUAAAAAUGGCUACCAUUAAUAAAUCAACAAACAACAAAUGCUGGCAAGGGUGCUGAGAAAAGGGAGCUCUCAUGUAGUGUUGGGGGGAAUGCAGAUUGGUGCAGCCACUGUGGAAAACCAUAUGGAGUUUUCUCAAAAUUUUAAUCACCGAACUCCUUUCUGACACAGCAAUACUACUGGCAAUGUAGCAUAAGAAUACUGACACACCAGUUGGAAAGUAUCUAUACAGCCCUAUGUUCAUUGCAACAUUAUAUACAAUUGCCAAGGUCUGGAAGAGCCCAAGUGUCUGUCAUAGAUGAGUGGAUUAAAAAAACAACAACACAGUGGUACAUUUACACAGUGGAAUACCAGGCAGUCAUAAAAAAGAAGGAAAUCUUUCCUCUUGCGACAUCAUGGAUGGACCUGGAGAGACUAUUAUACUAAGUAACAU